UUAGCUUGGGGUUAUGAUUAUUGCAUUCAAGUCCCGGAAGGUUUGGUUAACAUCUUCAAGGCAUUAUUGCUUGAAACGAAAUAAUUGGCUUGAUCCUCCUUUUUUCCCCAUAUUUUUGUUGCAGAUGUAGAUGCUUGUGAAAGUAACCCAUGUCCAUCUGGAAGCCAAUGCCAAGAUCUCAAAUAUAGCUACAAGUGUAAAGACAUAACUGCAUCCGGUUGUUCGUGUUCUAACGGUGGUUCGUGUAUUGGCAAAGAUAGUAAUGGUGAUGAGUUCUGCGCAUGUCCAUCCGGCCGCCAAGGAGAUAUGUGUGAACUUACUAUUUCACCUCCAUCGAAUUGUGGUGAAAACUAUUACGGUGAGGAAGACGGCC
rnacentral:lncRNA from 1 species